GUAGAACGUCACCGCCUCCCCGUGAGGAACCAUGGCGUCGGUGACGUCGAACGGCCAGCGCUUCACCCCACCGAUCACCACGCGGCUCCGCCCGGCGGGGAUGAGGCAGCGGGCUGGGAGGGUGAAAGGAUUGUUCCCACUUCACACGUCACCUCUGCAGUGUGGCGCCGACGCACUCCAGCUGCCGUUCGAGAGGCAGGUGACCUUCUGCGGUCCAUCGAGCAGGAAGUUCUUCUUGCAGAGGUAGUGGAUGUCGAAGCCCACCUCGUACUGGGCCUUCUGCACCGCCACCACGUAGCCCUGCUGCACCUCUGGAGGAGGCUGGCAGAACACAUCUGGCACAGGGGAGCGGCUCGUUAGUCCGCUCGUCCGGGCUCAAUGAGUUGUAGUGAAGAGGUAAACUAAAAGAUUAACACCUAAAAGUCUUUCUUAUAAUCGCUAUGGGUUUUAUUUUCUGCUGCUGUGAUGCAUGAAGCAUCGUUUAAGGCUUUUCUCUCGUGUAAUCCCGGGUGUGGCCGCUAGAUGGCAGAAAAGCACCGUGAAACAGGCCAAUGCAGCCUAAUAGAUGGCGAGACCCCAAGGGGUUCGUGGACUCCACACUGGCUCCUUUGAAUCGCUCUCUUACAUGCAUUUUCACGCACACACAGACAGAUUCACACGUCACGCCACUGACCUGAAUCCUCAACCACCACUCUGUCGCUAACCUUGAAAGAUGCACGUCCGCUACAUGAAGACGGGUGCGUGACACCGGUGCACACUUACUUUUACAGGUGGGGUGCGGAUACUGCCAGGUCUGAUUAUCCUGACAGAAGUUCUCUCUGCUUCCCACUACAUCCGCUCUGCAGGAGAGAAAGCAGCGAGUGAUGGAGAUGUGCGACAUGUACAGUGGCGACAGCUUCCGAGCGUCAUCUAAAUACAAGUAAUGAAAAAGG